UGGGGAAUAUUGGACAAUGGGCGAAAGCCUGAUCCAGCCAUGCCGCGUGUGUGAAGAAGGUCUUCGGAUUGUAAAGCACUUUAAGUUGGGAGGAAGGGCAGUAAGCGAAUACCUUGCUGUUUUGACGUUACCGACAGAAUAAGCACCGGCUAACUCUGUGCCAGCAGCCGCGGUAAUACAGAGGGUGCAAGCGUUAAUCGGAAUUACUGGGCGUAAAGCGCGCAUAGGUGGUUCGUUAAGUUGAAUGUGAAAGCCCCGGGCUCAACCUGGGAACUGCAUCCAAAACUGGCGAGCUAGAGUAGGGCAGAGGGUGGUGGAAUUUCCUGUGUAGCGGUGAAAUGCGUAGAUAUAGGAAGGAACACCAGUGGCGAAGGCGACCACCUGGGCUCAUACUGACACUGAGGUGCGAAAGCGUGGGGAGCAAACAGG
rnacentral:rRNA from 1 species